GCGCGAGUGGCGCCACCUUGUGGCUGUCCUGCGGAAUGACGCUAGUUUACACCUGUGCGUCCACCACAGCGGCCUCUAGCGGCACCGUGGUAUAGGGUGGCACGUAAACCAGGAACAAGCACCGGAACUCGUGCUCUGGCGUGGACGAUACAGCGCACGCGCAACACCGCAAUUAAGAGUGCGCAACUGGCACGGAGAUGGGACACCACGUGCUGCUGUACUGGCCGAAUAUUAUCGGGUACGUUAGGAUGGGCCUUGUGAUUGCUGCAUGGGCUUCCCGCGAGACACCAGCACUCUUUGUCCCUCUUUACUCAACCCACAUGGCCCUGGAUGGAGUGGACGGCUGGAUGGCCCGCAGGCUGGGCCAGACCUCCAGGUUUGGAGCCUGGCUGGACGUAGUGGUGGACAACCUGGGCAGAGGCAUGCUGUGGAGUCUGCUGUUUGAGUGGGGUUGGCUGGUGUCGGCUGUGGAGUGGUGUGUGUUUGUGUGUAACCACAAUGCCCGAGGCGACCGCUGGAAGAACAGUUUCACCAGCAGCCCUGGGUUCAUCCGAGCCGUCAUGGCAAACGGGUUUCGGACACCUCUCGGCACAUGGGUGGUGAGCGGGCUGCACGGCCUCCCCCUGUGGCUCUACGGGUGCCGGUGGGGAUUCCUGACCCACUGGCUGCAUCUGCCUCCCUGGAUCCAGGCUCUGGGGACCCUGCUGCUGGCUGCGGGCCGCCUGCUGGCUCUGUCAGCGGAGAUGUGGUGUAUGUGGACACACAUCAAACACCUCACCAAUGACGAGCAGGAGGAGAAGAAGAACUGAAAGCCACUCAGCAGAGUCAGCUGGAAGAAUGCUGAUGUCAUUGCAGCACCUUUUAUAUGAACGCUGGCCUCAGGUCACAGAGGGCGUCACCCCAAGAAAAACUGAUUUAAAAACAGACUGCUGCCAGGCAGUCUGAGUGUCAGCAGUCAAGUUAGAAAUAGGAAAAUGCCUGCACUAAACAAUUUCUCUUUGUGAUAAGAGUAUUUGUGAUCGCUGUCAUUUACUUUAUGAAAUUACACCAGCCACGAAGAUGGAAUGCAGUGGGGGUCCUACGCGUACAGCUUUCCACUGGUCUGUUACUCGGUCAUCUCUGAAGGUGUGGUCGGGCUCUGCAGCAGUCCAUCUGAAGGGCUAGGGGAGACCCAGCUCAGUCCAUUCUUUCUCUCUUCACUUUAUAACCUGCCAUUCCAAUGGACGGCGACGUCACCGGACAAGCACAUACUUACAUCAUCUGUGAGCCAACAGUGAAGCAGUAACAGGACAACAGUGAAACAUCCACUCAUCACAUUUGGUGUCAGUCCUCUGAAGAGCUUAUUGAACGUCUUACCCAGCAAGCCCACGCCCUCUGACCCCCCAGCACUGACACGAUGGCAUUCCCUUGCAGACAUCAGUAGAUCACCAUGAAGACCAGUAGGUAUCGUCUCAAACACGUCUCCUACAUUCCACCGGACUGCUUGUUUCUCAGCGUUCGUGAUUAAAAGGUAAAACACUUUAACACAAAACAAAAUCACAUUUCUGGAUCCAGUUUGUUUUCUUCCCGUUGGCCAAAUGGAGAAUGUGACGGCGACAUAUGAUAUAUUGACAGUUAAGCUGGAGUAAAUGCUUCGUGUUCAAAUCGGUGAAAAAGAGCCUUUUCUCUUCCUUCCACGCUCGGCACAAAGAUGCAGAAAUCAGACAUGGUAGCCCUAAUGGACCAGAAUGCAAUGCAACAGGUCGACGUGUGACCUUGGAUUAAAAGCAGAACAAAAUGAACCCAUGAUGAUGUCUCCAUUCUGGUUUGUGGGGAUUGUUCACGUCGAUGGACCAGAAGAUAUGUUGACCUUUAAUCACAAGCCAAGCUGUUCUGGUAAAUCUAAUCCGUCAUCCGAGUCUGGAACCUUCUGGAAGUACCGACUGCAGGUAACAUUAAUGUCCACGCAUGUUGAGGCCGAAGCACCGAGAGUGUAGCUGAGCGUCCUUUUAAGGGGGAGCCAAGGCUGGACCUCCUCAGCUAGAGCCACUCACAUCGCUGCUAGAGGGAGACGUCCGAGAGCACUGAAGCAACAGCAAGGCAAAGCUCCCUUUCUUCAUUCCCAGAGGAACAAACAAGGAAACCGGUGGGCGACUUAACGAAGGCAACACAUUUUCAAGAAUGCUGCAGACAUUAAUGCCUAAAUUCAUUUUAACGCCGGACAACAUUUCCCGUCAGAAGUAAUCUCAUCGUUUUUUUCUUUGAGGAGCCACGUCACGCUCAAUUCAUCCAUGACGACUCUGAUUAUUCACUCUGCACGACUCAGGUCCCCCAAAUGAAGAGAACAUUGAUUUCUAACUUACCUGUGAUGGUAUUUAGCCAUGCAAAUAGUAUGUGUUUCUCUUUUGCCAAGGUUUAGACAAGCCCAGACCAUGGUUCUGAACACUAAGCUACAACAGUUUCACCCUUCUAAAUACUGUGUGGUUUUCACCUCUACAGGCCCAACUUGGUAACUUGUAAACUUUUGGUCAAGUGAUCCGAUCGUUUCAAAGUGCUACAUUUAGACAAGCACCUGUGUGUGAAGCAUCUGCCGGCAAAGACUCGUCGUCGUGGACAACAAACUGAGAAACAAACGGAUGCUACUGGUUGUGUUCAGGGUGAUCUCUCCCAGUGGUUCAAUGUGAUGAAAGACCAGCACGAGUUAAGCUCUAUAACAAAACUACGGAUGGGAUUCUGGACAUAAAUGGUCGGGCUGAUGGAAAAACAUGGUCCAGCAGCCAAAUAUCUGGGACUGGGCACUAAUGGGAUAUUUGACAGGAGAGG